UCUCUUUCUCCCUCUCUUCUUCUCUCUCUCUUUUCCUUCUUUUCCCCCGAGCUCUCUCUUCCUCACCAUCGGCCUCACCACCGAUCUCCCCCCUUAGGGAGACGUGGCCCACACCGCCGGUCUAGGAGGCGUCGCACCUCCCCGCACAAGCGACCCCGAGGUCGACUCCCUCUCUCUCGCCGCACACCGGAGCUCCACCAAGACGUUGACUUUUCCUCCGCCUUAUCCAAGCCAUCUCCGGUGGUUUUAAAGCACGAUUGAGGUGAUCGCUAAAUCGAGGAAAUGAAAUAUCAUCGGGAAUUGUGGAUUUACGCUCGAGUCGUUAAGGGAAUACUUCCGCAGGUGCUGAGUAGUGGUGAUUGAGUGACGACUCCGAAAACUCGAAGUCGAUCGCAUCCAGUCGUGGUGAGGUUCCAGCGUGGAUUGUGUGUGAGAUUUGGUGUGAUUUUAUUUGUGAGGUUGUUGUGAGGAUUAUACAAUUCCAUUUGUUAUAUGUUGAAUUAUCAUUUGGGUUUGUAAUAAUCGGCUUGACUGAGUUAUAUUUUAAACUCAGAUGUGAUCCGCUGCGACAUUAAAAUGAUUUCGAUUUCAUUGAGAUUAUUUUUGUGUUUAACGAUUCUAAGAUUUUGAGUUUUGAAGC